rnacentral:rRNA from 1 species
AGUGAACGCUGGCGGCAGGCCUAACACAUGCAAGUCGAACGGCAGCACAGAGGAGCUUGCUCCUUGGGUGGCGAGUGGCGGACGGGUGAGGAAUACAUCGGGAAUCUGCCCAAUCGUGGGGGAUAACGUAGGGAAACUUACGCUAAUACCGCAUACGACCCCAUAUCGAAGGGUGUGGGGGUGAAAGCGUGGGACCGCAAGGCCACGCGCGAUUGGAUGAGCCGAUGCGGAUUAGCUUGUUGGCGGGUAAAGG